GUAAUUGUUCAUUUGAUUAUGUAUUUGUUAUGGAACAGGAAGAGCAGAAUAGCAUAGUAAAUGAAAAUUGUUCAAAUUACUGAUAUUUUGAGCACUUUGGCCAAAUGUGUUUGUUUGCUUUUGCUAAUUUAAAACCGCUACGUCAUAAAAUCCAGAUAGUUACAUUACAUUUGUUGUCCAGCAAUCGCAGGCAAGCACCUCCAAGUGUGGUCCUUCAUCAUGGCCAGGCGAUGAUGCUGAACUGGUAGCUGCAAGCCAGGCUGUGGAAGACUUGCUCAAGUCCCAAGAGUCCAGCAGUCAGACUAGCAGCCAGUCUCUGGAUUUCCAGUGCCGGGGUUCCCGACCCACAGACAAGACCAAGCAGCCUGAGCCCGCUGUCCGCCCCAAGCAGCCUGUAUCCACUAGCCAGCCCACAGAGUCCCCGUCCACAACCAAGGGUCAUGAUUAUCCCAUGGAAGCACCUCUGAGUGACUCCCCUGUGGAGCUAGAGGGUUGGGUGCAUCUGUGGGAAAACCCCAGUGGCAUCCCAUCUGCCGACAUUUCAUGGCUCAAUGAGGAUACAGAAAGAGGGCUGUUUAAAAUUUACAAUGACAAAACUGGUCUGUAUACGAGGCGACGGGUGAUGAAAUCAGACCACAUGUGGUUUUACCCACCAGAACCUCCUGGCUAUGCCAGUUGUGCUAUAUGCCUAGCCGUCCUCGGGGGGGUACUUACCGGUAAUAAUUAUUAUGUAUAGAUUAAAACAAAUGUGGGCCAGGGGCAUAAAGGGGGGCGGGGGGAGGUGGCAAUGGCCCCUUCCCUACUUACUAUACCCCCUUACUUCUGGCACCCUUGCUCGGACCACACCCAUCUUCGAACUUGGCCUUCAUUUUGAGCUCAACUACACACCUGUAAUGUUUUGUGACUGCAUCUUGCACUGUUGUUACGCUAUCGCGUAAGACAGACGCGAGGAAAGUAGGAACCCGCUUGCAGCAGCACCUAACACUCCAUCAUGCUCACCCAUUCCCAUCUACAUCACUGAUGUAACUGACUGACGCACUCCACAUUUGUCGUCAUUGCUUUAAUUUCAUUAAUGUAAUCUAAUGUUUGUAAUGUAGUCUAAUUACUGUUACUUAAUCUAACUACUGUAAUGUAAUCUUAUUAUACAUACGCCAUUUGGUGAUACCAGGCCUGGCGGAGAUCUGCACCCUACUGAGUGCACUCUUCUAGUUACUUUUGUACUUUUAUUUAAAGGAAAUCUCGAAUGUAGGACGUCUACUUGUAUUUUUACAGAGCGGUAUUGCUACUUUUACUCAGGUAAAAGUUAUGCGUACUUUCUCCGCCACUGUAUACUUGUACUCCACUACAUUUCAGUGGAAAUACUGUAGUUUUUACUUCACUACAUUUAUUUGGCAGCUAUAGUAACUUCACAGAUUAAAGCUGAUUAUACAAACAUGUAUAUUUUGUAUACAUACAGAACAUAAAGUUACUUUACAAGAUAUGAUGCAUUGUUUAAGAUGAAAAUGCCCAACACUAUAUAAAGUAGGUAGAACCAGCUGCAACAAUGUUUAAUCUGUUAAUGUGGGAGGGAUCCAUGUUUCAUGUCAUCAGGAGACUGAAGAGCCAUUCAGAAAGCUGCUGAGAGCAACUUUUACUAAGGAACUGAGAGAACUCCUGAGCUAAAAGAAGGGGUGGGGUUUAGCCUGUUGCUAUGGCGGACAUCAUGCUUCAUAAUUAAUUUACUCACUGUGUUGACAGUGAUGGGUUGACAGGUGACCGGUCUGUGUCAGUGAACGUGAAAUAAUAUAUUCACAUCACAUUGAAACACAGCUGAAACUGAUCAGGAGCAUGUUCAUAUAAAGAAAAUGUUGGAUGAAUGAAAAAAGUGAAGAAAUCAAGUUGAAGUUCAAGCACUUCAGGCAUGGAAAGUACAGAUGGCUUGUAAAUUUGUUGAUGACCUAAAGUUUACUGAAAGGUACUUCCAAUUGAAGUGUAAGCUCUGAAAGGAGUAAAAUAGAGAAGUCAAAUAAAUAAAUAAAACUAGAAGAGUGCACUCACAUCUUAUCGGCCAGGAAUAUGUGGUAAUUACCAGCUGCGACAGUGUGGCUGGUGUUGUUUUCCCCUUGUGAGUCUGUGUGUGUGUGUGUCAUCAUGGCAAAAUGUGGUCCUGGAGACACCUACUGUAGCAGGAACUACCACAGAAGCGGCCAGUCAGUCAGUUACAUCAGUGAUGUAGAUGGGAAUGGGUGAGCAUGAUGGAGUGUUAGGUGCUGCUGCAAGCGGGUUCCUACUUUCCUUGCGUCUGUCUUACGCGAUAGCGUAACAACAGUGCAAGAUGCAGUCACAAAACAUUACAGGUGUGUAGUUGAGCUCAAAAUGAAGUAUCCGAUCACAAAAGUAAUCUGAUUUCUUCGAAGUAAUCCGAUUACAAAAGUAAUCUAAUUACAAAAGUAAUCUGAUUACCAAAGUAAUCGGAUUACUUCGAAGUAAUCUGAUUACAAAAGUAAUCUAAUUACAAAAGUAAUCGGAUUACUUUGAAGUAAUCAAAUACAGAUUCCUUUAGAAAAAAAUUAUCAUAAAAGUUUUCAGAUUACAAUGAUUACAAUUUUUUUAUACUCGUUAAGAAGUAUGGUUUUCCAGUUGGUUACACCAGUGGUGGAAGAAGUACUCAGAUCAUUUACUUGAGAAAAAGUAGAAAUAGCACAAUGUAAAAAUUCUCAAAUAUAAGUAGCCCUGCACUCAAAAAUUGACUGAAGUUGUAUUAUAAGCAAAAUGUAGUAAAAGUAUCAAAAGUAAAAGUAUUCAAAAUGCAGACUGGUCCCUUUCAGAAGUUUAUAUUAUUAUACAUAUGACUAUUAGCAUUUAUGCAUUAACUUGUAAGUAGUAUUGUUGCAGCUGGUUCUACCUACUUUAUAUAGUGUUGGGUAUUUUCAUCUUAAACAAUGCAUCAUAUCUUGUAAGGUAACUUUAUGUUCUGUAUGUAUACAAAAUAUACAUGUUUGUAUGAUCAGCUUUAAUCUGUGAAGUUACUAUAGCUGCCAAAUAAAUGUAGUGAAGUAAAAAUUACAGUAUUUCCACUGAAAUGUAGUGGAGUACAAGUAUACAGUGGCGGAGAAAGUACGCAUAACUUUUACCUGAGUAAAAGUAGCAAUACCGCUCUGUAAAAAUACAAGUAGACGUCCUACAUUCAAGAUUUCCUUUAAAUAAAAGUACAAAAGUAACUAGAAGAGUGCACUCAGUAGAGUGCAGAUCUCCGCCGGGCCUGGUAUCACCAAAUGGCGUAUGUAUAAUAAGAUUACAUUACAGUAGUUAGAUUAAGUAACAGUAAUUAGACUACAUUACAAACAUUAGAUUACAUUAACGACCUCAACCUCCCGCUCCUCGCUCUGAGAUGCUCCCUGUGUAUUCCACCUCCAUCGAGAGCCCAGUGGAGAAACAAUCUGUGGACAUCCCAUCCUGUUACGCCCCCUUCAGUGACAUUUUCUGCCCAAAGAAAGCCUCAAAGCUGCCUCCACAACGGCCAUGAGACUGUGCUAUCGAUCUACUUCCGGGUGAGCCAGUGCCAAGCGGGAAGAUAUACCCAUUAUCCAUCCCAGAGCAGAUGGCCAUGGAGGAGUAUAUCAGUGAAGCAUUUCACCAAGGCUAUAUCCGUCCCUCCACUUCUCUGCUGCUUCCAGUUUCUUCUUUGUGGCCAAAAAGGACGGAGGCUUGCGGCCUUGUGUCGACUACCGGGGCCUCAACAAAAUCUACUCCAGUGUGUGCUCUACUCCAGUGUGGUUCCCUACCUGCUACCCCUUCAUCAUCAACGUAUCAGUAAGACAAAGGACAGUAUCUGUGAACUUUCUACAUCCUAACUAUAAUCCAUUACCUAAC